rnacentral:lncRNA from 1 species
AUGCUCCUAAAACGCCCACUCUGCAGAUCUGCGCUGCACAGGAGAGAAGAAAUGGGCCCAUGCCCUGCCGCUGGUAUCGCUGUGUCCAAGCCUCAGCAGCCUGCCAAGCGCGCCUUUGUGGGGCGAGCUCAGCGCCCGUACCAGGCACAGGCGACCUGCUUGGCCCAGGUCCUGCAUUCGCCCUCCACCCCUCUCCCCAGGGAGCUGUGGGGAGCAUCCAGGGAAUCCCACGUCAGGUCCAUCAUGGGCAAGGGCUGUAUUGCUAACAUCUGCCUGGAGGAAAAAGAGUGUAACAGUGGAUUUUUUUUUUUUUCUGACAGUAAGAAACCAAGAUGCUCUUUAAGGAAAGGAUCCCUGCGCAGGACAAAUGACAGAGCACCACGGAUAAGGGUCCCCCGCUGACGAGCGAGACAUGCAGUAGGAGCCGGCGCUUCCCAUCGGAGAGCGACGCUCCUGGGUGCCGCGAGGCCCUGGGCACAGCCGGGAGAGCGGCUCGGGAGAGGCCAGGAGAUGCACCAAAUCAGCUGCCUCCUCGCAGGGCUUGUCUUCAUCCUCGGCGUGACCGGCACGGACGGUUUUGCCCGGGCAGGCCGUCGAGCGUGCGCCGCGGAGGCGCCGAGCCGGCCGGCCGCCGUCCCGCAGUCCCCCGUGCAGCC